AGUUAUAAACUUAAAUUGAAUAAGAUUAUGCCUUGAAAACAUAAUAAAAGGGUUAAAAUCCCUUAUUAACUU
rnacentral:tRNA from 1 species